ensembl:lncRNA
GGGGUGUUGUCUCAUUUACACAUCAUCAUGUCGGUGGUGGGCCAUGUCACUAGGGUUGUGUUUUUCUCUCCAUCCAGUCUCAUCUGCCCCUCCAGCCAUCACACCAGGGCCCAGCCUCCAGAGCUGACAAGGGGACGUCUAAGGACAAAAAGCCCCAGACACACUCACCUCUCUGGGCCGCUCUUUGCUCUCCUCACUGGGUCAACCAGCCGCCCAGGCCCCAUCACACCACUGCACUGUGGCCCGCUAAAGGCAGCUGACUGAUGUAUCUAAACACACCAUAGUAUCUUGCUCACUGAUUGGAUUACAGUCGCCUGAGUAAACGCUGUAGAGGAAGAAUAAGUCUCUCUUUUUCUGGCCCUCCAGUUUUGACCCUUGCCUGUCCCGACUCUGAGCCCUCCUGCUUGACCACUCUGCCUGACCCUGAGCCUGCCUGUCGUCCUGUACCUUGGUCUCUACUCUGGAUUACUGACCCCUGCCUGCCUUGUCCUGUCGUUUGCCUGCCCCUGUUGCUGUAAUAAACAUUGUUACUUCAACACAGUCUGUAUUUGGGUCUUACUGGAAACCAGAUAGUACGAACUGGCCAUGACUGACUCAGCAGACUUAGACCAGCUCCACAACGCCAUCUCCUCCCAAGGAGCCCUCAUUGGUAGACACGAGGAGUUCAUUCGCUGUCUGAUGGAAGGGUUCCAGGAUGUGAUCGAACGUCACGACCUAGCAUUGGACGCUUUGCGGGAGCAAUUCCAUGGGUUGCUAGACAGCCUAACACGACAGUAACCUCCCAGCACCUCAGUAACCUGGCUGGUAGCAGCGCCGUCACCCCAGUUUCCCGGGAACCCCGCUUACCUACCCCGAAGCACUAUGAUGGAGAUUCCAGAACCUGCCGGUCCUUUCUCUCCCAGUGUUUCCUCGUUUUCGAGCUGCAGCCUUCUUCGAUCCCCUCGGACCACUCAAAGAUAGUGUACAUUAUUACGCUGAUGUCCAGGAGGGCACUCGCCUGGGCCACGGCAGUGUGGGAGCAACAAUCUGCCUUCUGCCUCAGUCUGGAGGUAUUCGUGGCGGAGGUGAGAAAGGUGUUCGAGGCUCCGGGGUCCGGAGAGAGGCUGUUACUCCAGCUUCUGCAGGACUCCCUCAGUGUGGCAGACUAUAAACCCGGAAGUUACUCCAGCUUCUGCAGGACUCCCUCAGUGUGGAAGACUAUGAACCCCGAAGUUACUCCAGCUUCGGCAGGACUCCCUCAGUGUGGCAGACUAUGAACCCGGAAGUUACUCCAGCUUCUGCAGGACUCCCUCAGUGUGGCAGACUAUGAACUCGGAAGUUACUCCAGCUUCUGCAGGACUCCCUCAGUGUGGCAGACUAUGAACUCGGAAGUUACUCCAGCUUCUGCAGGACUCCCUCAGUGUGGCAGACUAUGAACCCGGAAGUUACUCCAGCUUCAGCAGGACUCCCUCAGUGUGGCAGACAAUGCGGUGGAUUUCCGCACGUUAGCAGCGGAGGGUGCCUGGAACCCGGAAGAGCUGUUCAACACGUUCCUGCAUGGAUUAUCUGAGGAAGUAAAGGACGAGCUUGCAGCACGGGAACUACCUACGGAUCUCAACCUAUUCAUCGCUUUAACCAUCUGGAUCGAUGGUCAGCUAGAGGGAGAAGAGGUCUGAUUGCGGUCCCAAUCGCUCACUCAAGGAUCCCCCUUCCAUCUGAUGAACUCCGGAAGUCCCCGGUGUCUUCGUCCCCGAGAGAAUCCGAGUUUACCCGAGUUCCCCCAAGAGCAUCCGAAGAUGGACGAUUUACCUCUUCCCGAGCCGAUGCAGCUUGGCAGGGCUAGGCUGUCUCCAGCCGAACAUGUACUGUAUGUAGACUUAACACUCAGAGUUGUUUGUAUUGCGGUACUAACGGUCAUUGUCUACCUGUCCCUUCAAGAGACAUAGCUCAUUGUUGGGAAUGAGUACUCUGGUGGGUCUUAAGGAUAAUUUUGCUUCUCCCCCAUCUCCAUGCCACCCUGCUGUGGGGCAACCGUCUCUCCAGAUACUCAUCGACUCAGGGGCCGAUAUGAGUCUCAUGGACGUUACUAUGGUGUCCGAGUUGGGCAUCCCCACUCAACCCCUCUCCAUUCCCAUUGACGUUAGAGCGCUGGAUGUGCACUCUCACCGUACCACCCCCAUCAACCUACGAGUAUCGGGGAAUCACAGCG